GCGGCGGCCGCGGGGAACGGGACAGGGCCGCGGGGCCGAGGUGAGGCUGCCGCCGAGGUACGGACACACAGACACACACACAGACACACACACACACACGGAGGAAGGGAGAGCUCGUCUCCUUGUCAUGCGGAUCCUGUCUUCUGAGCGUGCUGUCUGUUCAGGAUUUAAACACGAGGCAGGUGCUCACCUGUUCGGCCUAGGAUUUCCAACAAGUGGCCUUGUUAAAAAUUCCGACUCCAUUGCCACUGCUUGACAGCUGAAAAGUUCUUCAUCUAUUUCUUGAAGAAAACGAACACCUACAUAAACAGUUCAUCCACUCUUAAAAUAUGAAUUUAAAACAAAUGGAAAGUAGAACAUCUGGAGAUCCUUCUAUGUCUUCACUGACUAUGGAAGAUACUUUGAUACCUGGUUUAGACCAGAAGAGUACAUUUAAAUGCUAAAGCCAGGUGAGAGCUUUGCAUUCAACCUUGGAAACUUUUGCAAUAUGAAGAAAUUAACUCUCUAAUCAGUACAUAACAGCAGUCCCAUCUGUAGAAAACUGUUAGCUUUCUAAACGGGUACCUUUCUGCCUUCUCCCCAGAUGGCAUUCAGUCUAUGAAGAAGUCAUAUGUAAGCAUCCACAAACAGGUUAAUUAAUAUUUUUAAAAUC